UACGUAGGGUCCAAGCGUUAUCCGGAAUCACUGGGCGUAAAGCGUGCGUAGGUGGCGCGUUAAGUGAGAUGUUAAAUCGUGGGGCUCAACCCUGUCGUUGCAUCUCAUACUGGCGUGCUAGAGGACAGCAGAGGCAAGUGGAAUUAGCAGUGUAGCAGUGAAAUGCGUAGAUAUUGCUAGGAACACCAAUGGCGAAGGCAGCUUGCUGGGCUACUCCUGACACUGAUGUACGAAAGCGUGGGGAGCGAACAGG
rnacentral:rRNA from 1 species